rnacentral:rRNA from 1 species
ACGGGUGAGUAAUGUCUGGGAAACUGCCCGAUGGAGGGGGAUAACUACUGGAAACGGUAGCUAAUACCGCAUAACGUCGCAAGACCAAAGAGGGGGACCUUCGGGCCUCUUGCCAUCGGAUGUGCCCAGAUGGGAUUAGCUAGUAGGUGGGGUAACGGCUCACCUAGGCGACGAUCCCUAGCUGGUCUGAGAGGAUGACCAGCCACACUGGAACUGAGACACGGUCCAG